rnacentral:rRNA from 1 species
CCUAACACAUGCAAGUCGAGCGGAUGACGGGAGCUUGCUCCUUGAUUCAGCGGCGGACGGGUGAGUAAUGCCUAGGAAUCUGCCUGGUAGUGGGGGACAACGUUUCGAAAGGAACGCUAAUACCGCAUACGUCCUACGGGAGAAAGCAGGGGACCUUCGGGCCUUGCGCUAUCAGAUGAGCCUAGGUCGGAUUAGCUAGUUGGUGGGGUAAUGGCUCACCAAGGCGACGAUCCGUAACUGGUCUGAGAGAUGAUCAGUCACACUGUACUGAGACACGUCAGACUCCUACGGGAGGAACAUGGGGAUAUUUGGACAUUGGGCGAAAACCCUGACCAGCCCUGCCGGUUGUGUAGAGAAGGCUUCGGUUGUAAAACAAUUUAAAUUGGGAAGAAAGGGAAAAAAGUUAAACCCUUUGUUUUUUGACGUUCCCAAAAAAAAAACCCCGCUUAAUUUUUCCCCGACCCGG